rnacentral:rRNA from 1 species
UGAGGAAUAUUGGGCAAUGCCCGAAAGGGUGACCCAGCAACGCCGCGUGGAGGAUGAAGGUCGUAAGAUUGUAAACUCCUGUUAGAGGGGAAGAAUAACUAAGUUUGGAGCUUAGUAUGACUGUACCCUCAGAGAAAGCCCCGGCUAACUACGUGCCAGCAGCCGCGGUAAUACGUAGGGGGCAAGCGUUGUCCGGAUUUACUGGGCGUAAAGCGAGUGUAGGUGGUUGUCAUAGGCAGGUGUGAAAGCCUUGAGCUCAACUCAAGAAAUGCCCUUGAUACUGGGCGACUAGAGGACCGGAGAGGAUAGUGGAAUUCCCAGUGUGGUGGUGAAAUACGUAGAGAUUGGGAAGAGCACCAGUGGCGAAGGCGGCUAUCUGGACGGUUUCUGACACUAAGACUCGAAAGCGUGGGGAGCAAAC